GAGGGNUCAUUGCUGGAACGCGCUUCGGCGCACCCAGAAACCCUUUGUGAACUUAUACCUAUUUGUUGCCUCGGCGCAGGCCGGCCUCUUCACUGAGGCCCCCUGGAAACAGGGAGCAGCCCGCCGGCGGCCAACUAAACUCUUGUUUCUUUAGUGAAUCUCUGAGUAAAAAACAUAAAUGAAUCAAAACUUUCAACAACGGAUCUCUUGGUUCUGGCAUCGAUGAAGAACGCAGCGAAAUGCGAUAAGUAAUGUGAAUUGCAGAAUUCAGUGAAUCAUCGAAUCUUUGAACGCACAUUGCGCCCUCUGGUAUUCCGGAGGGCAUGCCUGUUCGAGCGUCAUUUCAACCCUCAAGCCUGGCUUGGUGAUGGGGCACUGCCUUCUAGCGAGGGCAGGCCCUGAAAUCUAGUGGCGAGCUCGCUAGGACCCCGAGCGUAGUAGUUAUAUCUCGUUCUGGAAGGCCCUGGCGGUGCCCUGCCGUUAAACCCCCAACUUCUGAAAAUUUGACCUCGGAUCA
rnacentral:rRNA from 1 species